AUGGAUGCUGCUGGCGAAAGUGAAGAGCUGGUCUCUGGGGAAGCGUUGUCCAUAGCCCAUGCUCUCUCUCACUCUCCGGAGUCAUAUGGCAACGGCCCUGAUAUUGAAAUGGCUUGAGCCAUUCGAGCAAUGCAGCAUGCUGAAAUCUAUUAUAAACUGAUUCAUCAGCUGACCCACAGUUUCUGAAACUCACCAAAGUAGAUGACCAAAUCUGAGUUCCAUUCCGUGAGAUUUUUGAGACACUCAGGGUAGAUGUAUUGGACCCAGAAGAACUCAAAUCAGAAUCAGCUAAAGAAAAGUGGAGACCAUUCUGCUUAAAAUUUGAAGGGAUCGUAGAAGAUUAUAACUACGGGACUUUACUGCGACUGGAUUGUUUCCAGGGCUACUCUGAAGAGAACACCAUCUUUGCACCCAGGAUUCAAUUUUUUUGCCAUUGAAAUUGCUCGGAACCGGGAAGGCUAUAACAAAGCAGUUUCCAUCAGUAUUCAGGACAAAGAAGGAGAGGAAGGAGCUGGCAAUAAAGAAGAAGAAGCUGAGAAAGGAGCUGGUAGUGGAGGAGAAAAAGAGGAAGGAGCCAACAGAGAAGGAGAAAAGUAGGAAACUAACGAGGGAGGAGAAAAGGGAAGCCAAAAUACCCGUGACUCAGCUGAACUCACAUGUGUCUGCU
rnacentral:lncRNA from 1 species